GCGGGCGUAGUCUAGUGGUUAUGAUGUCUGCUUUACAGUUUCUACUGCAAAGCGCAGAAGGUCGGGAGUUCGAUCCUCCCCGCCCGUA
rnacentral:tRNA from 1 species